GUCCACGCCGUAAACGAUGAGAACUAGAUGUCGGGAGGAAUUGCCUUUCGGUGUCGCAGCUAACGCGUUAAGUUCUCCGCCUGGGGAGUACGCCGGCAACGGUAAAACUCAAAGGAAUUGACGGGGACCCGCACAAGCGGUGGAGCAUGUGGUUUAAUUCGAUGCAACGCGAAGAACCUUACCUGCCCUUGACAUCCUCGGAACUUGUCAGAGAUGACUUGGUGCCUUCGGGAACCGAGUGAC
rnacentral:rRNA from 1 species